CCUACGGGAGGCAGCAGUAAGGAAUAUUGGUCAAUGGAGGCAACUCUGAACCAGCCAUGCCGCGUGCAGGAAGAAGGCCCUAUGGGUCGUAAACUGCUUUUGUACCAGAGAAAACCCGAGUACGUGUACUCGGUUGAUAGUAUGGUAAGAAUAAGCAUCGGCUAACUUCGUGCCAGCAGCCGCGGUAAGACGAAGGAUGCAAGCGUUAUCCGGAUUCAUUGGGUUUAAAGGGUGCGUAGGCGGACUGAUAAGUCAGUGGUGAAAUCUCUCGGCUUAACCGAGAAACUGCCAUUGAUACUGUUAGCCUAGAGUAUAGAUGACGUUGGCGGAAUAUGACAUGUAGUGGUGAAAUACUUAGAUAUGUCAUAGAACACCGAUUGCGAAGGCAGCUAACGAAACUAUAAACUGACGCUGAGGCACGAAAGUGCGGGGAUCAAACAGGAUUAGAUACCCUGGUAGUCCGCACCGUAAACGAUGAUUACUCGUUGUUGGCAAUAUAUACGUACACGCGACCGACGACGAGAGAGAGAAGUAAGUACUAACCGUACGGGUAGGUUACGGACCGGCCGACGGUUACGGAACGUUAACGAAGAGAGUUAGUUAGGCGNGAGAGNGCGACGACGACGACGAGGAGGAGGAG
rnacentral:rRNA from 1 species